rnacentral:lncRNA from 1 species
GUUUUGAAUCUUUGGCAUCUUCAGGGAUGGAUGGAAUCCUACAACUGAGGGAGACUGCGGUCUUGGGCGUGAGCAAGUGAGGAAAAGCGUGCUGGAGCGACCAGCAGCAAACCUCCUCAGAGAGGUGACGCCAGCUUCUUGGUUUUCACCUUAGGUCUGUUCCUCCAAGCCGGGGUGCCUUUCCCUCAUUUACGCUCCUGAGGGAUGCUCUGCUUGUAACCUUCCGCAGGGUUCCCGCGCGCGCUCCACACCUUUCCCAGUUGUGGUUUACACCCCACUGACUUCUCUCAUCACAUCCGUGUCUCCAUCACCAUCAGAUACUUUUCUCAGUGCGUCUGAAAAUGAUGGGAAAGGCUCUCAAGCAGCCUAACGAGCACACUACCACCAGCACCCUUCACAAACUGAGCCCAGAACUUUCUUGAAGAAAGGAUGCUGCUGGUCUCCCAGACCUUCCUGCUCAAAACCAUAAGUUGGAAACACUCUGCAACGUGCUGCAAAAUUAAUCUACCUACGGCUCUGCUGGCACACCCAGAUGUCCUGAAACUUUCCCGAGUGUGUUCGGAGCAGCCACUUGGAAUCAUCCAGAGUCUGCCUUCUACAUGAGACCUGUCUGUCUCACCUGUACUUGGGAUGAAGUCUCCAUAUGCCAGCAUACAGAAUCUAUAUGGACAGCUGACAGUUGGCAUUGAAAUGUCCGCCUAUCGGCAGAUCACCAACAGGGAACACUUACAGCUGAGAAGCAAGAUAUAGGACUCCCUGAACCAUGUCCUGCGAGGCCAGUCUAGUAGAGAUACGUUUUAAUAAAAGUCAAUUAAAUGGACUUCAUUUUGCUUACAUUCUUCAUUGAAAGUUAAGGAAGACUGCAAGAGAACAUUCUAACAACAUAUGGGAGUCACACAGAUAAUCUCCAAGCAUUCUAACGUUACUGUCUUCUUUGCUAUGGAUCAAAGCACACCCUACCUUCCCUAUGAUACACUGUGAAUCUAGCAUUCAUUCGUCCUGGUGGCUUUUUAAAGCUCACUUUCUUGUUUGUGAAAUAACAACUUCUGAAAUGUUGUUAGAUCAGAUCAUCUUGCUUUAUUGUAUUUAAUCAUAUGCAGCCCAUGUUUGCCACCCUCAAGCUCUGAGAAAGAUCCUUCUUCCGUGAUCGAAUAAGUCAGUUUACCUGUGAAGAAUCGCCAUUAAUCUUGCCUUUUUAGACUGAUGUGUCCCAGUCAUUUCUUUUUCCCUCUCUGUAUGCUGCUACUCCAAAUUUUAGUGGCCUUUAAUAGGAUACUAUUAAAGUUCUAGGUCAGAUUUGCACAUAAAUUUUAACCAUUGUCGUCCAUCUAAUAAAUUUCUUUCUAAGUUC